GUAACUCUACGGCUACAGUGCCGUCAUCUUCCAAAAGUGCCGUCAAACGUCAUCUACGGGGUUUACACAUUCCACUGCACGAUCCUCGCCAUUUUUAGAAGACUGGGCAAGCUGACGUUGUCAUUAUUCUCCCAAGGUAAGCGCUAUGCGAAAAUAUAGUACACACAUUGAUGACAUUGCGAAGAUAAUGUUCACAUAUUAAUGUUUACAUGUUGUAUUGAUGCUGGAAGUCUAAGAUCAUGUGUAAACAGUGAGUCAUAACCUAGACUGGGCAACCACAUAGUCAAAUGGGUGGUGUACGUUUAUCUAAAACAUCUGAAUCAGUGCAACUCCCAGUCAGGUAAACAAAACAAUGUUAUGAACUUAUCCUACUUGGAACUUCAGGUGAGUAUUUCAACUCAAAUAUUUAUUGUAUCAUUGUAGAUUUAAAUCGAGUAUAUUGUUCACUGGGAAAAUGUAAUUCAAUAUUCUUGACAGGAACCGAGAAAUUGACCUGUCUGACUUUCUGGAAUUAUGAUCUACAAACAAUAAGAUGAGAGAAAUAAAUACAUUCGAACAUCAUUACAUUUCCAUUAUGGUUCUGACCUAACCUAAAUGUGGUCUUCAGGUUCCCACUUACUUCCACAUUAAGUGACAUGAUACUUUCAUUUUGUUUCAGCAGAUCUCUCAAGCCGCAGUCUACUGUCUGCGCUGCCAACACCAGACAGGAUCCCCCUUCCUGAUCUUACACCUACUACGAUUGCAGCCCUUCAAGCAGGUGAAAGGAGCAGCCAGAUUUUUAACUCUGUAUUGAAGCAGUGUGAAACAGUUUACACAACUGUUUAUCCAUCAAUGUCAUCUUCACCAUACUAUCAAUCAAUCGUCAGGAGGAUGGUGGCAAAAUAUCCUUCAUUGGCCUAUGCACAUGGCAAGACACUUUGGAGCUUUUUGUGUCCAAAUUGAGUCAGCGAUGCCGCACCAAUAGAUUUCAAAACAAUGCAAAAUCAACAAGACCUGCGCCUAAGGAUUCUGAAGAUGCACAACCUCAGAAGUUGUUCAAGAUGGCUAAUAAAUCAUCAGGUGUGACAUCAGAGAAAGAUUUUGCAUCCCAUCUUGAUGAAAUAAAGAAGGAAUGGGAAGGAAAGCAAUCAAUUACUCAUCUGCAAACUCUACUAAAACAGACAAGACAAUUCCGCAAAGAGUGGCAAACCACCUUGAAGCCUGGGAAGAUUGAGCCCAUUUUAGAAAAGUUCCCUUGUUUUGAGGAAGGAUGCUUUUUGGUGUAUGAAUUCUUUUGCCAACGCAGUGAUGAUCCAGAGGAAGCGAGGGAAGAAAUUGCCAGAAAUAUGAAAUGGAUAAUGCACACUGUCGUAUC